rnacentral:rRNA from 1 species
UACGGAAGGGGCGAGCGUUGUUCGGAAUCACUGGGCGUAAAGGGCGCGUAGGCGGGAUGGCAAGUCGGUCGUGAAAUCCUUCGGCUCAACCGAAGAACGUCGGCCGAUACUGCCGUUCUUGAGGGAUGCAGAGGAGAUUGGAAUUCCCGGUGUAGCGGUGAAAUGUGUAGAGAUCGGGAGGAACACCGGUGGCGAAGGCGGGUCUCUGGGCAUCUCCUGACGCUGAGGCGCGAAAGCGUGGGGAGCAAACGGG